rnacentral:rRNA from 1 species
CAGUCGCCGCGGUAAUACAGAGGGUGCGAGCGUUAAUCGGAUUUACUGGGCGUAAAGCGUGCGUAGGCGGCUUCUUAAGUCGGAUGUGAAAUCCCUGAGCUUAACUUAGGAAUUGCAUUCGAUACUGGGAAGCUAGAGUAUGGGAGAGGAUGGUAGAAUUCCAGGUGUAGCGGUGAAAUGCGUAGAGAUCUGGAGGAAUACCGAUGGCGAAGGCAGCCAUCUGGCCUAAUACUGACGCUGAGGUACGAAAGCAUGGGGAGCAAACAGGAUUAGAUACCCCAGUAGUCCCUGUCUUUAUACA